rnacentral:misc_RNA from 1 species
GAUGAAGAACGUAGCGAAAUGCGAUAAGUAAUGUGAAUUGCAGAAUUCAGUGAAUCAUCGAAUCUUUGAACGCACAUUGCGCCCGCCAGUAUUCUGGCGGGCAUGCCUGUUCGAGCGUCAUUUCAACCAUCAAGCCCCAGGCUUGUGUUGGGGACCUGCGGCUGCCGCAGGCCCUGAAAACCAGUGGCGGGCUCGCUGUCACACCGGGCGUAGUAGAUUUUAUCUCGCUCAGGGCGUGCUGCGGGUCCCGGCCGUUAAAAGCCUUUUUUUACCCAAGGUUGACCUCGGAUCAGGUAGGAAGACCCGCUGAACUUAAGCAUAUCAAUAAGCGGAGG